UCACUGUCCAGCGACUCUUCAAGAUUUCAGAGAAGGAUCCUCGUUCCCUCCAACACCUUCCUCAGUGCUCGACUAGGACAAUGGUGAUACAUGUUAGCAACUCUGUUCACCGGCCUGCCUUGAUUUCAAGGUUUCUCGAUGGUAAGCUGCUCCACUUAUCUGGAAAUCUGAGACCUCUCAGGCCAAGAAGAUCACCUUGAGGACUCUAUUCUAAAGGCCAUUGAACUUCUUUGGAUUGUUUUGUUUUCUUCUUGGGCCAAGAGGAGCCAUCUCACAGCUUGUUGCUGGGCGGAGGCAUAUGAGUAUGGAAUGGAAUAUGUACAGAAGUGAUGCACGCUACUUAUAGGCCCAGAACCAAUUAACUCCCCAUGAGAUCCUCCACUUCCUGUCUUCCCUCCACUUCUAGACAAAUGCUGAGGAUCCAAUCGAUGAAUCCAAGGCAGAGCCACCAGACCGAUGAAACCUGGGUCUCUGAAUCCUUUUAUGGAGAGCUGAUUUCCAUCCUGGAAUGAACCGUAAUGUGAGCAAAAAAUAGGUUUUAUCCUGUUAACUUCCUGGGAAUUUGGGGUUUCUUGUUACAGAAUUAGCCUUC